rnacentral:rRNA from 1 species
AUUGAACGCUGGCGGCAGGCCUAACACAUGCAAGUCGAACGGUAACAGGAAGAAGCUUGCUUCUUUGCUGACGAGUGGCGGACGGGUGAGUAAUGUCUGGGAAACUGCCUGAUGGAGGGGGAUAACUACUGGAAACGGUAGCUAAUACCGCAUAACGUCGCAAGACCAAAAAGGGGGACCUUCGGGCCUCUUGCCAUCGGAUGUGCCCAGAUGGGAUUAGCUAGUAGGUGGGGUAACGGCUCACCUAGGCGACGAUCCCUAGCUGGUCUGAGAGGAUGACCAGCCACACUAGAACUGAGACACGGUCCAGACUCCUACGGGAGGCAGCAGUGGGGAAUAUUGCACAAUGGGCGCAAGCCUGAUGCAGCCAUGCCGCGUGUAUGAAGAAGGCCUUCGGGUUGUAAAGUACUUUCAGCGGGGAGGAAGGGAGUAAAGUUAAUACCUUUGCUCAUUGACGUUACCCGCAGAAGAAGCACCGGCUAACUCCGUG